GAUGAACGCUAGCUACAGGCUUAACACAUGCAAGUCGAGGGGAAACGACAUCGAAAGCUUGCUUUUGAUGGGCGUCGACCGGCGCACGGGUGAGUAACGCGUAUCCAACCUGCCCAUCACUUGGGAAUAACCUUGCGAAAGUAAGACUAAUACCCAAUGAUAUCCCACGAAGGCAUCGGAAUGGGAUUAAAGAUUUAUCGGUGAUGGAUGGGGAUGCGUCUGAUUAGCUUGUUGGCGGGGUAACGGCCCACCAAGGCAACGAUCAGUAGGGGUUCUGAGAGGAAGGUCCCCCACAUUGGAACUGAGACACGGUCCAAACUCCUACGGGAGGCAGCAGUGAGGAAUAGUGGUCAAUGGGCGAGAGCCUGAACCAGCCAAGUAGCGUGCAGGAAGACGGCCCUAUGGGUUGUAAACUGCUUUUAUAAGGGAAUAAAGUGGGUCACGUGUGACUUUUUGCAUGUACCUUAUGAAUAAGGACCGGCUAACUCCGUG
rnacentral:rRNA from 1 species